rnacentral:lncRNA from 1 species
AGCUGAAAAUGGACGACCGCUAGAUUCCCGUUUGGCACGUGAAGUUAUUUUUUUAUUUAUCUAUUUAAAUUAAACAAACUACCGUCAAACUGGGUGCCAAAACGGUUGAAAGAUUCCUAAGCCUCGCGGACGACAAUUUCGUCGACGAUGUCAACGACGACCUGAAAUGUUUUGUGGCGGAACGAAAUGUUGACAGUGUGCUGGUGUUUCCACCAGUGAGCAACUACCGGAGGUUCCUCAUCCACCGGUGCGUCGAGGAGCUCGCCCGUCCUGAUCUCGCCACCUUCUCCAUUGGCUUCAGCGACGAGCGACGGACCGUUGUCUGCUACCGUGACAGGCUACUGAGUGAUGAGGCUUGCGCCCGACCAGCCAUGGGACUGACACACAUGGACCGCGGCGAUGAGGCCAUAUCACGUUCCGGUAAGUUUGCAAAUUUUACCUUAAACCAGGGGUCCCAAAUUUAUUAUGUCUGCUGCCUAUUUUGAGAGUAAAUUCUUUUUUACCGCCCCCAUUUUUUUACCUACUUAAAAACCACUAUUACUUCAAAUUGCAAAUCAC